AUCCGCCAGAAAAUUACGAGCGAAAGCCUAAAACUCAAAAGACUUGACGGUGUCCCACCUACCUAGAGGAGCCUGUUCCAUAAUCGACAACCCACGAUAUACCUAACCACCCUUAGAUUCACCUCAGCCUAUAUACCGCCGUCGCCAGCUUACCUCCCAAAAGUUAUGAAAGUAAGCUAAAUAGUUAUCACACUAAAAAGUCAGGUCAAGGUGUAGCUUAUACGGUGGAGGAAAUGGGCUACAUUUUUUAACUUAAACUAAACGAACCUCUUCCUGAAACAAGAGAAUAAAGACGGAUUUAGCAGUAAUUUAAACAAGAAUAUUUAAAUUAA
rnacentral:rRNA from 1 species